AUUAUUUCAGUAUAAUUACGCUAAUCUGAUGAAGAUACGCAGAUAAUAGAGAAAAAGAAUGGGCUAGCUGCUAAUCCACAUUCUGCAGAAGGGCAAACGACAGGAUGUGUAUGUGAUACGACAACAGGCAAUUGGCAGACAAGCUUUUUUUCUUUUUUUAAUUUUUAUGCCACUUCACUUAUUGGUGACGUGGCAUCUCUCAGCUGGAUAUUGCCACUCUGUCCUCGUGGUCUUCCCUAAUUGCUACCUCCCUAGGGAUCACCCCUAUUAGUCACGUGAUCCCUGCCUCGAACGACCGCCCCUACCUGCUGACCUGUCUCCCGAACCUAGCCCUUGCCUUCCACGUAGGCUCGGACAACCGUUUGUCCCCGAACCUAUCACUAAUUAAGAAACAAAACCAGGACUAGUAAGAAAGUAAUAAAAAACAAAAACAGACUAAUAAAAUAUAGCAAAAAAGGAAAACAUACAUUCACCUAUUCACGCUCUUUCCAGUAGCCAGUUUCAUUCAUGAGCGUUAAGAAUUAAGCCGUCAAUGCUCAGCAUCUUCUCUUAGAAGCCAAAAUCAUGAAAAAGUAAACCCCCCACUCAUCAAGAAGAAAAAGCAGAGUAGCAAGCAAGAUAUAAAGAAAGAAGAUUCAGAAGCAAGAAUCAAAGAACAAAAAAUAAGUCUUCUGUCUCUCUGGUCUUUUG
rnacentral:lncRNA from 1 species